UGGGUAAUCUGCCCGGAAGUGGGGAACACCUCGGGGAAACUCGAGCUAAUACCGCAUGACAUCUUCGGGACGAAAGUCCUGACGAUCAAAGCGGGGCCGCAAGGCCUCGCGCUUCCGGAUGGGCCCGCGCCCGAUUAGCUAGUUGGCGAGGUAACGGCUCACCAAGGCUUCGAUCGGUAACCGGCCUGAGAGGGCGAUCGGUCACACCGGAACUGAGACACGGUCCGGACUCCUACGGGAGCAG
rnacentral:rRNA from 1 species